rnacentral:rRNA from 1 species
UACGUAGGGUGCAAGCGUUGUCCGGAAUUAUUGGGCGUAAAGGGCUCGUAGGCGGUCUGUCACGUCGGGAGUGAAAACUCAGGGCUUAACCCUGAGCCUGCUUCCGAUACGGGCAGACUAGAGGUAUGCAGGGGAGAACGGAAUUCCUGGUGUAGCGGUGAAAUGCGCAGAUAUCAGGAGGAACACCAAUAGCGAAGGCAGCUCGCUGGGACGUUACUGACACUGAGGCGCGAAAGCGUGGGGAGCGAACAGG